UCAGGUCUUGCAUGCUGUGACACAAAGAUCUCAUCGCCCGGUGCGCUAUGUUCAUGUUUUGAAAUCAAGAUUGAUUAGCCAACACGAGAAGACCCAGCUGGUUAUGUGACUCAGAACCCUGUUUAUGAAGCACUCGCUCGUUUUUACAAGACAACUGUCCAGAGGAAGAAAUGACCAUGUAGAUUCUACAGCUUGGGUGCAACAUAAUGGGAAAUGGUGAAUGGAGUGGAGCUGGUCUGCAGCCUUGAGAGCAGCCGUUCUGUGAGCUCCAUCCAGCCAGUCAGGGACACCCUCCACGCCAGAGGCAUCCUCCACCUCGCUCGCCGGACACACGCGGGAUUCUUUUUAAUUUCUCCGCUUGGAAUUCGAGAUUCCUCUCCUUCGGUUUUUAAACAGUUUUAAGAUUGUAUCAGCUACAACGAGUGGAGCAAUAUAACCAGCCACGAUGGGUGACAUGACAAAUAGCGAUUUUUAUUCCAAGAACCAAAGAAAUGAGGCCAACCAUGCAGGAGAGUUUGGGUGCACACUGCAGGAACUGCGCUCCCUCAUGGAACUCCGAGGGACAGAAGCAGUAGUAAAAAUUAAAGAGACUUAUGGGGAAACAGAGGGGCUCUGCAGACAUCUGAAGACAUCACCAACAGAAGGUAAGUGCCCCUCGCUCCAC